rnacentral:rRNA from 1 species
CCACAGAAGGUAAUAGUCCUGUAUGUUAAACGAGAAAACUUUAGAUAUGAUCCAGAGUACCACGGGACACGUGAAACCCUGUGGGAAGCAGGAGGGACCACCCUCCAAGGCUAAAUACUACCUAGUGACCGAUAGCGUAUAGUACCGAGAGGGAAAGGUGAAAAGAACCCCGGGAGGGGAGUGAAAUAGAACCUGAAACCCUGCACUUACAAGCUGUGGAAGCACAUUUCUUGUGUGACCGCGUACUUUUUGUAGAACGGGCCAACGAGUUACGU